CAGGUGACUGACCAAGGCGUGAAUUGGUGUGUGUUCCAAAACACUCAUCAUCCUGAAGAAAGCUAGAAAAGCAGACUUGUUUAUAGGAUGGACAUUCGAUUCUGUAAAGAAUGCGAAUCUUACUCAGUUGGGGAAACAAAUAAAGGAUUCAACCAAAGAGUGCAUGAGAUAUAUUAUCUAUAGUCGUCAAAACGUAGAUAA
rnacentral:lncRNA from 1 species